AACCAUUGAGAUCAAGCUCAAAUUGAUGAGUAACUUUGCUGCUCCAUCACUCGGAUCCUUGUCCUGUACUUUAUGCUUCCUCCUUCCCUUGUGUAUGUUUCUGCAAAACCAUUUAAGAUGGAAAAAUAAGAAAGAAAAAACAAUAAUGGUACAUCAGAAAGUAGAAAGAACUGCUGGAUACGGGAACUUGUUUCCUAGUUUAGCAACCAGUGAUUUGUAAAAGUUGAGACAUACACCUAUUAUACAAGCAACAACAGAAGAACCUAAAUUCUGCUGCAGCAUAUUGUUCACUACCACUGAUGGUACACGUUCUCCCGAACUUAUGUGUAGCUUCAAAGCCGCAAAACCAUAGUGUCUGGUUGUUUCUGCUGCAGCUGCACCUAGCACAGACAAGCAUUGGAUUAACAUUGCUGAAAACUGAACCUAAAUAUGCAUCCCAUCAAACAGAAAUAGAGAGACAGGGAGAGAAAGGUGGGAUUGUGUGUAUACCUUCACGCAGCUUGUUAAGAUAAGUGACUAAGACAUGGCGGAGCUUAGCGGCACUUGGCAAAGAGGAGGACUUGGCAUGGGUGGACGAUGCAACAGGGGCGGAGCUUGCCCAUGGGAGGACGUCCAUGUACGGCGGCACGCUUGCUGGAGGAUGGCGAACACUGGCAGUGGCGAGUUCGGUUCCUCGGAAUGGUUGUUGGACACCGGGCCGCAACAGAGCAUGUGAAGCGGCGUCAACCCUUUGGAGCUGGGGCAGCAGCGGCCUGUGGGGAUCUGCGGCGAAGGUGGCUUCCCUAGGGAUCCGCGACAGUGUCGGUGGUGUCGUGGGGAUCCGAUCCCAUCCAGCGUCCCAUCUCCUUCCUCCCGUGCUCUCUUUCCUCUCCUGAUCUUCUCUCUCUCUCUCACCGGUACCCUACGCCAUGCCGCGCCCGUCAGCAAUUGUGCUCCAAGCUCCGGCCGCCUGCCUUCCAGAUCCACCCCCUGAGCACCACUUCCAACCGGAUCCAGCGAGAUCCGGCAGGUAAUCGUCGACCGGGCCACCGCAAGGUCGCGGGGCGGGGCAAGAGCCAGGAGGCGGCCGACGACGCGCGGGGCAUGGCAGGAGGUGGGCGGGGCAGGAGGCGUCCGGCGGCGCGCGGGUCGUGGUAGGAGGUGGACUUGGCGGGGCGGAGCGCCGCGAGGGCGAGGCGAGGCAGAUCGUGGCUGCGUUUUUCCCCUGUGUAAACCGUACCGGUUUG
rnacentral:lncRNA from 1 species